GUUCAAGCUGUCAAAAGAACUCAUGAAAUCACUUUUAAAUUUGAAGGGAAACUGGGCAAUUAUGUUUGUCUUACAUCAAGGCACCAAAUCAAAUGGAGUUGAAUACAUGACUUAAAAGAAUUAGCUAUAUUGUGAAUAAAUAUAAGCAUUCAAUUUCACCUUAACUAUAAAGGCGAAAUCCCCAUACCUUAAUAUGUUAAUAUAUUCCUAUUCACUUAGAGACCUAUGAUGCUAGACCAUUUAUUAUCUUUUAUUUGAAUAAAUUUAAUUAGUUUAAGAGGUAGGUCCCAACUGACUGAUGUUGAAGAAUUAGCAGAUUUUAGGGGUGAAAUGUCACUCGUACCUAGAGCUAGCUGGCAUUGAGGUGUUACAGUUGAGUAGACAUCCUGGGGUAAAGCACUGUGUUAACGCGAGAUGCAAGAGUGACACCGAAUCGAGACAAACUCUAAACAUCAAAUAUGACCCAAAAAUAAGAGGGAUUAAGUUCAAUCAAUAAGGCAAAGGGGAUAAACUUUAUUGUCCAGAGGGAAACAACCCAGAUCACCAAUUAAGACCCCAAAAUGACAGCUCAAUGAAAAAGGAGGUGGGGGUGCAAACACAACUAGGAGGUUUGCCCAGAAAGAGUGCAAUAACUCAUUUAUCUAGUGCUCUUAUGUUGAAGAUGGAUAGGGCUAAGCGAUUUGCCAAAUAUAUGAGAUGUGAAAAUGCAUUGGUACUCCACCUUAGAGCGAAGCACCCACGUGCAGAUUUGGAUGAAUCAAAAGUGAGAAUGUCGACUUGAGUAACAUAAACAUUGGUCAUAAUCCAAUGCCCUGAAAACCUAAGGGUUCCUCCACAAGGUUCGUCCAUGAAGGAUGAGUCAGGGCAUAAGAUCAGGCCGAAAGGCAUACUCAAUGGUGAAUAGGUGAAUAUUCCUAUACUACGCCUUGUUGGUUCGGAGGGAAGGAGAAGACUAGGUUAAUUGAAAGAUGAUUAUUGGUUCAAGGAUGCAAGGUGAUCUUGCUUUUCCAAGAUAAAAAAGGUAGAGGAAAUGCCUCGAGCCAAUGUUCGAGUAUAACCCAUGCCAUACUCCCAUGAAAAGCUCAAAUGACCUUUGAUAAAAGGGUAUUGAGACCUAAAACCGACGUAGGUGGGUAGGUAGACAAUUCCUAGGGGGCAUGAGACAACUCUUCUAAGGAACUCGACAAAAUAGCCCCUUAACCUCGGGAGAAGGGGUGCCUCCUUAUAGAGGGGGUUGUAAUGACUAGGCCCAGGUGAUUGUUUACCAAAAAGACAGGUCGUUGCAAAGUCAGACCAUAUAUGGGGGCUGAUGUUGUCCUAGUGCCAUGGAAGAUCAAGGGAGUGCCUUAGUGAAGGGCGACUGCAACUAUAAUAGUCCUAAGGUAUCGAAAUUCCUUAUCAAGUUAUGAUCCACACAAAAGGCAUAACAAUCUGGACAUUGUCUCUAAGAGAGGUUCAAUGACAUAAUGUCUUUGAAGAUGUGGAGUACCCGCACCUCGACAGAAAGACCCUAUGAAGCUUUGCUAUACCCUAGGAUUGGCUUUGGACCUUUCUCAUCUAGCUUAGGUGGAAGGCGAAGAAGUUCUCUUUCUGAGAGGCCUAAGCCAUUAGUGAGAUACCACUUUGGAAGGGCUAGAAUUCUAACCUUAUACUAAGACCUAUGGGCGUAGGCCUCCUAUAAGUUAAUGGAGGAGUGCAAAAGCUUCCUCGAGCAGCAUGGAGAUUGACCCUUGAGUGCAAAGGCAAAGGAGGUCUUGAAUGCAAGACCCACCCACUGAGCCUAGACGAAAGUCAGCCUUAGUGAUUUGACGAUGCCGAGUCAAAGGACAACAGAUAAAAGUUGCCCUAGGGCCAUCAAGAGGACCAAGAAGGAUGCACCUCUAGUGUACUGUUUAUCUUGCCCACAAUAAAUUUGGAUAAAUUUGAAAGCAUCUAAGUAGCAUGCUCACCCUAAGAUGAGUGCUCUCUUAUUUCGACCCAAAAUCCUCAGUAGCACAAUCGAGACAAUGACGGUUCUCUGUCCUUGUGGGAUAGAUAAGUGUCAAGUGAAAGUGCAGUGAUGUAUGCAGUUGAGGCAUCCCGAUAGAUUGAGAGACUUGAACCU
rfam:Musa acuminata subsp. malaccensis Doubled-haploid Pahang (DH-Pahang) genomic chromosome, chr11